UUGGUCACUAAUGUCUGAUGAGGAAAGAGAUGGAGAAUUAUCUCUUCCCUCAGGAAUUCUUUAUUGAUGGUUGGCUGAGCUCCAGUCCUACUAUUUGGGCAGUUAAUUCCAUCCUUGCCCUCGUAUGUGGAAUGGGGCUCUUCAUAUUCUUACUUUCCUAUUUCUAUCCUGAUCCAUCCUCACCACCAGGAAAGAAACACAGGAAGAGCAGGAAGUACCAAGCAGGGACACGGAGAAGGAGCAAUAGAAGCCAGAAAAGCCAGACUCUGAAAGUUUUCAGAAAUUUCCUACAGGAUCUGGAAGAGGUUCAGGAACUGUUCUCCCUUCUGCAAAGG